UACGGAGGAUGCAAGCGUUAUCCGGAAUUAUUGGGCGUAAAGCGUCCGUAGGUGGUUGGCCAAGUCUGCUGUCAAAGGGUGGGGCUUAACCUCAUAAAGGCAGUGGAAACUGGCGAGCUAGAGUGCGGUAGGGGUAGGGUGAAUUCCCAGUGUAGCGGUGAAAUGCGUAGAGAUUGGGAAGAACAUCGGUGGCGAAAGCGCCCUGCUGGGCCGGCACUGACACUGAGAGACGAAAGCUAGGGGAGCUAAAGGG
rnacentral:rRNA from 1 species